UUAAAACUGGGCAUCACCCAAUUUAAAGCAUCCUUCUAAGCCUAAUGCUCCAAUGUAAUGUCCGAAGUUGAAGGUGAGCCUCAGAGCUUGUAAAGGCUGCCAUGGUAAGCUCUUCUAUGCCUCUCAAGAGCUAAGCUGGGGGCUCAGAUCACCUCUUAAGUGGCAAAGUGUUGUGUAUUUGCAGUCAGUGAGUACAGGGAAGGGAGCAAGCCAUAAAGCAUCCUCUACUGCAGACCCACCUGGAGCAGUGUUUGACCCUCCAGACAGUAGCUAAAAGUCAAAGGCACUGCCUGGUAGUGAUGGAUGUUAUUCAUUGCCAGGAACUCUGAGGCUUCUGCAGUGCCACAGGUGCACAGCCCACCCCAAGAGAGGUGCUCCAGUUUUGCAGUGGUGCUAAGGUUGCUAUUUCCAAUCAGCCUGUAUCCUCUGCAAGGUACCUCUACUUCUACCAUCCAAGAAAUGCCUACAACCAAAGCUGUCCCCCCAGAGGCGGCUGCUUCUCACUGCCAUAGCAGUGGGCAGCACCAAGCAGCACAUCUGUCCAGGGCAGCCCUGCUCCUUCCUCACCUGGGCAGUGCUGUGCUGCAGGCAGCUGCUCGUGGCCUGGCCCUUCCUGUGGCAGGCAGCAGAACAAAUCAGACGCUUUGCAUUUCAUCAACCUUCCUGGAGAGCGCUGCACAAUUGUUCCCACAGCAGGAUGCUGAGCAAGCCGGCCUCAGCGAGCACCACCUUCCUCUGCAUCGCUUCAUCUGUCUGGAAGAAAGGAAUCAAGGGAAGGAAAUGAAGACGUUACAUCUGUAAUCAUAUUUCACAGCUGCACAGCAAUUUUCCUCCCAGUGCAUUCAGCAGCUGGGAUGCUGUGACCUCUGCCAUAGCGGGCAGCAGCCAGCCCGUGGCUUACUGUGCAGCUUAAUGGAGGAGUGCUUUGCUUGGAGCAAAAGACAUCCUUUUUGUUUUCAGGUGUUCUCGCAAUAUUCCCUGGCAGAGGUCACCUUGCAGUGCUGGAGGGUCGGGCAGUUGCUUCCCUUGUAAGUGGUUCCAGCACGUGAAGCGCCAGGAAAAUGCAGUAUAGUUGAAUCCCUGUGUAGUGUGGGAGAAGCUCUGUUAUGGAACAGGACUGAGGAAAACUGAGAGAUGUCCUCUGCGUGUGAAAACAUUCAGGAAAUCAUCCUUUGCUAUUUACAUCUGUAGUUGCUGGGUGUCAUUUGCAAGGCACAUUCUGUGUUCACCAUGCCCGGGUCAGCCUUGUGUUUGAAGGCUGUCCACAGGAGUGUCAGCCCAGCAGGACUUACGCCUGCACAAACAGAACAGCAAGGCCUGAACAUCCCUUCCCAUGCCAUGUGCUGGGACAAACAGCCAGUGGAGAGCAGCAGGGCGUUCCCAGAAGGGCUGAGGAUGUGGCCAAACAGCUCCUGGCAGCAGGUGCCAGGGUGGAAGUGGCUGUGGUUCCAGAUAAGAUGUCAGGUGCAGUGUGGGACUGCUGGCGAGCUGAGAGCUGCUGGCGUUUGGCUGGAGAGCACUCAGGGCAGUGCUGCUGGGGCUUCUGCAACGUCCACACACCUUUAAAAAUCCAUUUCUAAAUACUUAAUAUGAACUGCAAACGAUGUAGUUGACACUGAUAUCUAUUUCUCUUGUCUGUAAAGUGUGGUACUCCAAGCUGAAUGCCUGUUUUGCACCCUGUGAGUGGGGCUGCUGCUGUGCUGUAGCACAUUCUUGCACAGUUCAUUGCUGGAGCAUGUGGUUUCAGCACGUCCUAAUGCAAUAGGUGCAGAUUGUUCCUGGUUUUGUGUACAUAUGUGUGGAACUGAGAAUGAUAAUUAAAUUGAUCCUUUCUUUCUCACUGAAAGCUGACAGUUGACCCUCGUGUAUAGGUUCAUUACUGCAUAUACUGUUUCUGUGCUGAGGCACUUUUUUUUUCCACCAGUCCGAGGGCAGCUCUGCCCAAUGCUUUCAGUUCUCAUUGCCUUCUCUUGAAAACAGAAACAGUCAUAUGAAAAUGUGAAAGUACUGAAAAACUUGAGAUGCUAAAUGGGAGCUCUCUAA